rnacentral:rRNA from 1 species
UACGUAGGGGGCUAGCGUUGUCCGGAAUCAUUGGGCGUAAAGAGCGUGUAGGCGGCCCGGUAAGUCCGCUGUAAAAGUCAAAGGCUCAACCUUUGAAUGUCAGUGGAUACUGCCAGGCUAGAGUCCGGAAGAGGCGAGUGGAACUCCUGGUGUAGCGGUGGAAUGCGCAGAUAUCAGGAAGAACACCAACGGCGAAGGCAGCUCGCUGGGACGGUACUGACGCUGAGACGCGAAAGCGUGGGUAGCAAACAGG